GACGUAGGGCGCGAGCGUUGUCCGGAUUUAUUGGGCGUAAAGAGCUCGUAGGCGGCUUGUCGCGUCGUUCGUGAAAACCUGCAGCUCAACUGCAGGCUUGCGGUCGAUACGGGCAGGCUAGAGUUCGGUAGGGGAGACUGGAAUUCCUGGUGUAGCGGUGAAAUGCGCAGAUAUCAGGAGGAACACCGGUGGCGAAGGCGGGGCUCUGGGCCGAUACUGACGCUGAGGAGCGAAAGCGUGGGGAGCGAACAGG
rnacentral:rRNA from 1 species